AGUGACAUCGAAGAUGUCCUGUACUUUGUUGAAAGGUUUCCCCAUCUCCUCCCAUACCAUGGGCCAGAGGAGCAUGACCUUCUGGGUGAGGAGUUUCUAAAUUAUCAGACCAUGCCAAUGAUAUCCCUGCAGGACGAAACUGAAAUGGAAAGCUUCUGGGCUGAAAUGGCAACCCGGAAGCAUAAGGUGACAGGAGCCAAAGAAUUCGAGAGGCUUGCUGCCGUCGCCAAGCUUGUCCUGGUGUUUCCCCAUGCAAACGCAGAUGCUGAUAGGGUGUUUUCAGUUGUGGGACUGAACAAAACCAAGAGAAGAAACAGCCUAGCAUUGCAUGGCAGCCUCUCCUCAAUAAUGACCAUAAAGAUGGCCAAUCUGGAGCCCUGCUUCAAAUGGGAGCCCCCCUCCGAUAUCAUCAAGGCCUCCAAGAAGGCCACAAGCCAGUAUAACCAUGCCGCCAGAUCAUAGACAAGAGGCUCAUUUGAGAUGAGCCAGGUCUGCGCAGAAUCGAUCACCGGCGAUCACCGCCCAAUGCAUGCUGGUUAGAUUUGUGUCCGACUUGAUCCCGACUUUCUCUGACGUCAUGCACACGUGGGCAAUGAUAACCUCAUGAGAUCAAGGCGGCCGCAGUUCUGAGACGCAGGCAGUGCAAUUGCUUUUCACCGACUGCAGGACCCAGGCGGACCCAGGACAAAAUCUCCCUCCAAGGUUUUUUGAAAAGUUGGCAGGUAUGCUUUACAUGUCAGUAAAUGAAUGCUGUCUGUAUCCUGUUCAAGCCUGUUCUGAGCCUGGGGACAAGAAAUCUACAUUUUUGCAAUUGAUGCCUAAUCAUCAUUUGUCAUAACUACACACAAAACAUUCCUUAGACUAAUUACGAAAUAAGCUACACUGAACAAAUAUAAACGCAACAUGCAACAAUUUCAAAGAUUUUACUGAGUUACACUUCAAAUAAGG